CCUACGGGUGGCAGCAGUGAGGAAUAUUGGUCAAUGGCCGAGAGGCUGAACCAGCCAAGCCGCGUGAGGGAAGAAUGUCCUAUGGAUUGUAAACUUCUUUUGUCAGGGAGCAAACUCACACACGAGUGGCUGUCGGAGAGUACCUGAAGAAAAAGCAUCGGCUAACUCCGUGCCAGCAGCCGCGGUAAUACGGAGGAUGCGAGCGUUAUCCGGAUUUAUUGGGGUUAAAGGGUGCGUAGGCGGGCUAUCAAGUCAGCGGUAAAAGCGCGGAGCUAAACUCCGUCCAGCCGUUGAUACUGAGUGUCUUGAGUGGGCGAGAGGUAUGCGGAAUGCGUGGUGUAGCGGUGAAAUGCAUAGAUAUCACGCAGAACUCCGAUUGCGAAGGCAGCAUACCGGCGCCCGUCUGACGCUGAGGCACGAAAGCGUGGGUAUCGAACAGGAUUAGAUACCCGAGUAGUC
rnacentral:rRNA from 1 species